rnacentral:rRNA from 1 species
GGAUGCGAUCAUACUAGCACUAAAGCACCGGAUCCCAUCAGAACUCCGAAGUUAAGCGUGCUUGGACGAGAGUAGUACUAGGGUGGGUGACCUCCUGGGAAGUCCUCGUGUUGCAUUCC